rnacentral:rRNA from 1 species
AGAACGAACGCUGGCGGCAUGCCUAACACACGCAAGUCGAACGAGACCUUCGGGUCUAGUGGCGCACGGGUGCGUAACGCGUGGGAAUCUGCCCUUGGGUUCGGAAUAACAGUUGGAAACGACUGCUAAUACCGGAUGAUGACGUAAGUCCAAAGAUUUAUCGCCCAGGGAUGAGCCCGCGUAGGAUUAGCUAGUUGGUGAGGUAAAGGCUCACCAAGGCGACGAUCCUUAGCUGGUCUGAGAGGAUGAUCAGCCACACUGGGACUGAGACACGGCCCAGACUCCUACGGGAGGCAGCAGUGGGGAAUAUUGGACAAUGGGCGAAAGCCUGAUCCAGCAAUGCCGCGUGAGUGAUGAAGGCCUUAGGUGUAAAGCUCUUUUACCCGGGAUGAUAAUGACAGUACCGGAGAAUAAGCUCCGGCUAACUCCGCGCCAGCAGCCGC